CUGUACAGUCAGAGUUUGAUCCUGGCUCAGGACGAACGCUGGCGGCGUGCUUAACACAUGCAAGUCGAACGAUGAAGAAAAGAAUCGAAGCUUCGGCAGAAAUUCAUUUCGGAUUAGUGGCAGACGGGUGAGUAACGCGUGGGCAACCUACCUCUUACAAAGGGAUAGCCUCGGGAAACCGGGAUUAAUACCAUAUAACAUUGCGACGAAGCAUUUCGAUGCAAUCAAAGCUACGGCGGUAAGAGAUGGGCUCGCGUCCCAUUAACCGGAUGGUGAGGUAACGGCUCACCAUAGUGACGAUGGGUAACCGGCCUGAGAGGGUGAACGGUCACACUGGAACUGAGACACGGUCCAG
rnacentral:rRNA from 1 species